rnacentral:rRNA from 1 species
CAGCAGUCGCCGCGGUAAUACGUAGGUGGCAAGCGUUGUCCGGAAUUAUUGGGCGUAAAGGGCUCGCAGGCGGUUUCUUAAGUCUGAUGUGAAAGCCCCCGGCUCAACCGGGGAGGGUCAUUGGAAACUGGGAAACUUGAGUGCAGAAGAGGAGAGUGGAAUCCCACGUGUAGCGGUGAAAUGCGUAGAGAUGUGGAGGAACACCAGUGGCGAAGGCGACUCUCUGGUCUGUAACUGACGCUGAGGAGCGAAAGCGUGGGGAGCGAACAGGAUUAGAUACCCGUGUAGUCCCUGUCUCUUAUAC